ACAACUCAGAGGCUGCCUCUGCCCCAGGAUUGGUGAACCGAGUCCUUCCUGUCCCCCCUGACCCAGGAGGGUUAGCGACUGGGGAUGCGAGUGGAGGACGGACAAGACGUAGAAGAGGGAUCAAGGGGGAAGAGGACUGAGCUACCUACCAUGAGGAGCCACAGAGAGGACAGACUUCCUGGAAGAGAGAGUCCUGCAUUAGAGCAGAACAGAGCCCAGAGGAGAAAAAGAAAGUGGAGCAGGGAAAAUGGGAACAAUAGGAAACUUUGUGUUGAACAGCGGAAGGAAGAUGGCAUUAGCUGCAGGAGCCCCUUUAGGGCCUGUCAAAGGGAACUCUCCAGCCUACAAAACUGGGACACACAGAAUCCCAAAGUUGACUUCCCGCAAGGACCUGGGACAGACAUGAAAACAUCAGAAGAUGAUCGGGCUCCAGAGACCUUCAGCGGAAUACCGAAAAAACGUAAACCAGGCACGCCAGUUCCAGGGGUCCUUGACGUGGGGAGAGGCCAAGGACACUUCUCUUACAAUUGA
rnacentral:lncRNA from 1 species